UGGGGAAUAUUGCACAAUGGGCGAAAGCCUGAUGCAGCGACGCCGCGUGAGUGAGGAAGUAUUUCGGUAUGUAAAGCUCUAUCAGCAGGGAAGAAAGAAAUGACGGUACCUGAGUAAGAAGCUCCGGCUAAAUACGUGCCAGCAGCCGCGGUAAUACGUAUGGAGCAAGCGUUAUCCGGAUUUACUGGGUGUAAAGGGAGCGUAGGCGGCAGAGCAAGUCUGAUGUGAAAGCCCGGGGCUCAACCCCGGUAGUGCAUUGGAAACUGUUCAGCUCGAGUGUCGGAGGGGUAAGCGGAAUUCCUGGUGUAGCGGUGAAAUGCGUAGAUAUCAGGAAGAACACCGGAGGCGAAGGCGGCUUACUGGACGAUUACUGACGCUGAGGCUCGAAAGCGUGGGGAGCGAACAGGAUUAGAUACCCUGGUAGUCCACGCUGUAAACGAUGAAUACUAGGUGUCGGUACCCGAAGGGUAUCGGUGCCGUCGCAAACGCAUUAAGUAUUCCACCUGGGGAGUACGUUCGCAAGAAU
rnacentral:rRNA from 1 species